rnacentral:rRNA from 1 species
CCUACGGGCGGCAGCAGUGAGGAAUAUUGGUCAAUGGACGAGAGUCUGAACCAGCCAAGUAGCGUGAAGGAUGACUGCCCUAUGGGUUGUAAACUUCUUUUAUAUGGGAAUAAAAUGUUCCACGUGUGGGAUUUUGUAUGUACCAUAUGAAUAAGGAUCGGCUAACUCCGUGCCAGCAGCCGCGGUAAUACGGAGGAUCCGAGAGUUAUCCGGAUUUAUUGGGUUUAAAGGGAGGGGAGGGGGAUUGUUAAGUCAGUUGUGAAAGUUUGCGGCUCAACCGUAAAACUGCAGUUGAAACUGGAAGUCUUGAGUACAGUAGAGGUGGGCGGAAUUCGUGGUGUAGCGGUGAAAUGCUUAGAUAUCACGAAGAACUCCGAUUGCGAAGGCAGUUCACUGGACUGCAACUGACACUGAGGCUCGAAAGUGUGGGUAUCAAACAGGAUUAGAUACCCUAGUAGUC